UAAAAGCCCUGACUUUUAGCUGUCAGGCACGCAGUCUCCAAAUUGGCUCCUGGAGGCUGUGUCACCAGGCCUGGAAAUAAAGCCUUUGCUUCCAAAAUUUUAAUUUCUUGCUUCCUUGGAUUUUUAUACCGGGUCCAAGUUAUCACAUUUGGGGGCUCGGUCCGGGAUGGGAGCAAGACCCCAGACCCAUUUCUGAACAUCUGAAAAAUGUAAUUUCAGUAAAAUGAUGGCCUGCCACGUGCCACCCGUGGACAAAAGGCGGUGUGCCAUCCAAAUGAAGCUGGCUCUCUGACCCGGAAUGCCGCAACCAUGUUCUCCUUUUGUGCCACCCCGAUUGGACGUCCAGAGGAACAGGAACUUUGGUUUGCCAUCUCUAAAAUGGGAAGAACAAGGCUUACUCUGAGGAGCACUGGAAAGAUAAACAGCAGCAUGAAAACAUCCUGGAUACUGCCAAACACACAAAUGAGGUUGAUGGGCACCAGGGGCAGUGGUGAGAGGAUGAGCAGUCUGUUGCCCUGGCAGAGCCAUGAUGCAGGUCCAGUCUGAAUCCAAAAGCCUUGGAACUGUGGAGUCCAAGUGUGACACCCAGCAGCCCACAGCCCAGCCAGAGCAAAUUUCAACUCAAGUCUGAAGACUGAGGAAGAACGUGUUCCUGUUCACAAGCAGCCAGGCCUGAAGAUCCUCUCUCUUCUCCAGAGUUUACCUUCUAUGCUCUUAGGCCAUUCGGUUGAAGAAAUGAGGAACCCCCCAUCCCAUUAGAGAUCACAAUCUGCCUUACUCCAUCUCUUGGUUUAAACGUUAAACUCAUCCAAAUCACCUGCAGAGAACCACAGAAUAUGUGAUCAGAUAUCUGGGCAUCCCAUGGCCUGGUCAAACUAACGUAUGCAACUAAUUAUCAAGUCCUAUCCUGCCUGGUAAACAAGGAUGAGACAGGCAACGGACAUGUGCAAUGCAUGUUCCCACUUAAAAGAGGCUCAGAGCAACCUUUGGUCCCUAGAAAUCCUGAAAUACAUACACGCUUUCAUUUCCUGUAUUCAAGUUGAGUCUUAAUCCCUGGGAAAUGUUCUCCUGACUUCUGGGCUCUGGGCUCUGGGCUCUGGUAGUCUGGGUUCCCUCUCUGUACAAAUGGGCCACAUACACAGCUACGGAAUCCUUUGUGCCUUCCUCCUGCCCACAGUAGCCCAGGAGUUCCAAAGGCUUCUCUCACUUCCAUUCUGCCUUUGUCUCUUAUAGUUCAAUUCAAUACAGUUUCUUCUAAAACUUGAUAGGCUUUAUCCUUAUGCCUCUAAUUUCCCGUCUGUUAGACAAAAGCCAGCCCACACAUUUCUUCAAGGUGGUCUCUGUCUACUUUGGGAUCCCUGGACUGGAGAGGUAAGUUUCUGCCUUUGAUGUAAAAUGGAAGACACGUGUGUGGGUGGGCUGUUCAGAGUGGAAUAAAUAGGGAUUAGAAGCGCGGUCAUGCUUAUGACCAAACAGCUGCUGUAGAAUGCUUGAACGCACAUGUGCACACACACAUACUUGCGUGCACACACACAUGUGUGCUGCAAAACCCAAUACAACUAAUUAAACUAAAGGGUAAAGGCCACCUGGGUUAUCUGUAAUUACAAUGAAUAUGACAGACCAAAAUUUCAUCUCUAUGCAUAAAAUAGUCUUACAAAUAUUGUCUUAGAAGAAAAAUUGUCAUAGCAAUUGUUACAGAUUGAACACUUGUGUCACUUCAGCUUUCAGAUGUCAGAAUCUCAGUCCCACGGUGGUGGCUUUAGAAGGGGAGACAUUUGGAAGUAAUUCAGUCAUGAGGUGGAGCACUCUUGAGGAGGGUGUGUGACCUUACAUGAAGGGCCAGAGAGCAAGCACUCUGGUUCCGACCCUGCCAUAGACAGACACAAGGGGAAGCCAAAAGUGUGCACACUGCAGACAGUUCAUCACGGGACCUAACAGGGCUGCUGCCCUGACUGGACAUCCAGCCUGAAUAACUGCGAGCAAACAUUACAAUAAUGUUUGUAAGUGUUGGUUCCAAUCCAUGGACUGGCGAAAAGCUGCCUUGAAAGCCAACACCAGAAAAGACAGUGUUGUUCCAGCAAUGCACAUAGCAAACAUUUAUAAAGCUCAUUUACUUAUCAAUUCCAUUCCUAAGAAAAUAAAUUUAUAAAAUCAGUUAAAUAUUUAAGUACAAUGCUGUUCACUGAAACACAAUCUUUUGCAUGAGACUGCUUAUUGAAGCAUAAUUUUCAAUAGAGAAAAAUUGCAAACAGUUGACAUUUUCAACAGUGGAAGAGAUCAUUAAGUAAAUUAUGAUCAUGCACAGAAUUAAAGUUAAAAAUUAAUACUAAUUAUGCUUUAAUGACAUAGAAACAAGAUCACAUGAAAAAUCAUGCAAAAUAUGAUUCCAAGUUAGUUUAAAGCAAAGACAUUAAAAUUCACAGGGAGCUGUGUGAUGCAAUGACGUGUGAUUUUUAUUUUCUCUCAUAUGUUAUUUAGUUUUUUUCAUUUUCACACAAUAAACAUGCAUUACUUUAAAAAACAGAAAGCAAGAAAAAGGAUAAAAUGCACUUGAGCAAUGUGGUGCUGGAGGGCUUUUCUCUGAGUGACUGCACAAGAACAGACUGUGUUCACGCAGCAAAGCCUGAAGGAAAGCAGGCAUCUCCGCCAGAUGGAGGGAUCAGAACACAGUACGGGAAGCCAGGCAAAAAGAUUCAGACAGAAUCAAAAUAGGCAAUUCUCCCAGGUGGGCAGCUUCUGAAACCUUGGCACAGAAACAAUUUAUCCAUACGAAGCAUUAAAAGAAAACCACUGGGGACAAGCCGGGGGUUGGGGAGGGAAGGACAGAACAGGGACUGGAGCCCUGCCGCCUGACACCCUUCAUCCAGACUGGCUCCUGCCCGCUGCCCAUGGCGUCCCUGCUGUGUAUGAGAAUGGAACAGUGCUUAUUCAGUGUCCAUCACAAUAGAGGUCAGUUCACGUGUUCUCUUCAAUUCACUGGUCCCUUCUGUUAAAAUUUUAAGUUAACCAAUAUUCCAGGUGUCAGCCUCUACAGGUACUGGGUCUGAAGGGCCACUUCCUGCCCGAUUGAUCUUCAGUUAUAUGAAGUCAAAUGUGGCAAGAACAAAUUGAACCUAGAAAACACUAUGGUGUGAAGCUGGGCCCCUUUGCUUUGAUCAUCUUGACUGCUGGGAACACAAAAGACAGAGCAACCCUCCCUGUGCCUGGGCCCUGAGGGGCACAGAUAGGAUCUGGAGUGACCACAGCCCUGUGGAGUUGGCCAUGCUGAGCAAAGCUGCGAAUGGGGCUCUGAGCCCCAGGAAGGAUCCCGAGAGGUCUUGCUUCUCAAAUAUCACAACUUGCCAGAAGUUUCAAGUUGCCCAUCUUCUUCAGGGUCCCUCUGAUAGUGGUGAGGCAAGGCUGGGCAUCUCUUCUGCUGUGUGGGGAAUGGCAGUGCAGAACUAUGUCACCCACUGUUUGCCACUGGUCACACGUGGCUGUUGAGCUUCUGAGAUGCCUCUGUGGGCUGAGACAUGCAAGCAUGAAGUACAUGCCAGCUUCCAAAGAACACAAAGCAUCUUGAUAACCUUUCACAGCAUUACAUGUGGAAUACAGUACAUUUUUCAUGGUUGAACUAAAAUAUAUCACUAAAAUUACUCUCAACCAUCUCUUUUGCUUUAUUUAAAUGUGGCUACUAAAACAUGUGGCUCCUGGAAGAUAUGAAAUUGCAUAUGGUGAGUGCAUGUGGAUGGUAUUAAAUUUCUCUGGCUCAGUGCUUUUGCAAAGCAGAACUGGAGCCAGCACUGUUAGGCCCUCAGGUCUUCUUUGAGAUCUUUUUGUGUGUGUGGCGGGGUGGGCGGGGGAUUCCUUGUUCUACAGAGAAAAGAGGAAGAAAACAGAUUUGACCUUUUGAGCUCUUGAUGCAUGGACUGGAGCUGGAGCUCCAGCGUGGAAGCAGGAAAUGCCACUUAAAUUACAUCGUGAACCAGGGAGAUGCAGACUGACCACAACAUGUCCCCAAUGAGCCUGCCCUUCUCUUGUGCAAUGGCCAGGAACUGUGCUCUCAUCUAUCUGAUUCUGUGUUUUUGCAAACAUGGAAAGGAAAAAACCAUCUAAACAGAUUUCAAAAGAGAAAUGUGGGUACAAGCCAGCAAGAAGAGCUCAAGAAUGCUGUAAAUCAUGAGAGCUGGUCUUGACUUUUAUCCAGGGAUAUUCCUCUGUAUUUAGAUCUAAAUGUCUAUGCAGUAAACCUUCCUCAGAAAUUAAUAUAUAACAAUCUUCCGAAGUCCAUGCAUUCUACCAUACUAUUAAGUUCUAUAUUUCCCCAAGAGUAUCUUCAUUCAUCAUUUAAAUUAUUUUGAGAGUCUGAGUAACAUAAUAAUGAAUUCAAGAUAGAGUUUAUACAGUCCCAUACUUUCACAGGCAUUACUAUUUUCUUUUGUUUAUUUAAUAGAUAUUUAUUGAGCACUUCUUAUGUGCCAGGCACUCUGCCCAGAAUUAAGGAUACAAUGGGAAUCAAAAAUAGAAUAAGAUCUCUGGUCUCCUGGAAACUACAGCGGGUGUGAGAGGUGGAUAUUUAUCAAGUAAUCACAUAUGAACAUUCUGAGAAGCAGGGAAUAGGCAAAUUCAAAGCUCAAGUGGAAGGAUUAAUUAUAGAUAGAAAGAGGUCCAGCUCCUGUGACUAUAACAGAAAGUUUGACUCCCAGAAUCCAAUUAACUGCAAAAUAAGUCAAUGUGUUUGCUAUAAAGUAUAUGGGAUUAAGCAAAUCUAGUUGGGAUGUUUAAUGUAUUGUCUCAAUACUCAUUAUCUAGGCACAGCUAGUUACUCAGAGUAAGAUGUAACUUUAGGGGAUGGCCAGUAACUUAGGAAAGACUCAUCCAUUAGGGUAGAAUCACAUCUCAUUGCACGGCAGGCCCAGCCAAUAGUGGGAGGAGGUGUUUGGCAGUAUAGAAAGCUUGUCGUCACCAUUUGGGAGACUGAUGAUGUACCAAAACAGGCUUCUGUGCUGGAACAGACCUUUCAGCUGGAUUGACAAGCAAGAUACAGUGCAAGAGCUCACAAUAUAGGCAGAGCAUGUAGAGUACUGGGGACAGGGAGCGGAGAGGAGACGAGUAACGAUACUUAGGAUGCAAACUCAGGUUUAGGGGCGUUGUGAUCAGAAAUAGAUAGGAAAACUUCUGGCUUGGAGAACUUGAGGAAGGAGCCCAGGAUGAGCCACAGUCUGGUUGGGUUCGCAGGUAUGAACAUUGAGAAGCUAAUAGGACCUGAGCGUCCUAUGAGAACAGGGUGCCUGGUUAGGAAGCGAAAGUCGGGUCAGACAGAUGGGUCCUAGCUGCCUUUUGCCUUAAGUCAGUAUUUGCCCCACGUGGUUCUUGAGUUUUAAGAAAUCUCACCUUAGUUUUAAGUGUCUCCCUAGAUAACUAUACUUCUGUACACAAGUUUGGGGGGAGAACGGGCCGGGGGGAACAGAUCCUUCAGAUGUGAUGUGCGCUCAUCAGUGUAAAGUACAAGCACUGUCCAGCACCAGGGCAGGGGAAGCGAGGGCAAUCAUACCAACACACUUGGGAGGGCCCUGGGAGCAACUUCUUACCCUAAAGGGCAAAAAGGAAGAGGAAAUGUAAAUAAAUAGAUAAGUAAUGAUUUGGGCAGUCAGUGGCGGAGGGACCGCCCGCAGGAGGAGAAGAUACAGCUUAUGGUCAGGAGCAAGUCUGAAAGAAGGAAGUCGCCUUGGUCACCGAGGCUGUGCCCCAGGUGAGCUCUGGGGGAUUUGUGGUGCAGGCAUCACGCAGCCCGAGUGGCCAAAGCCUGUGCACCACUCUGCAGGCAUUUAAAGCCAUGCAGCGCUCAUAACAUCUGACAUGUGAAUACACUUGUAAAAGAACAUGUAAGGCAGCUCAGAAGUUUAAUGAAUAAAUCAAGAUUGCAAAAUGUA